rnacentral:rRNA from 1 species
CGGAGAGGGAGCAUGAGAAACGGCUACCACUUCUAAGGAAGGCAGCAGGCGCGCAAAUUACCCAAUCCUGACUCAGGGAGGUAGUGACAAGAAAUAACAAUAAACCGGCUUAUGCCGGUUUAAUUGGAAUGAGUACAAUUUAAACAUCUUAACGAGGAACAAUUGGAGGGCAAGUCUGGUGCCAGCAGCCGCGGUAAUUCCAGCUCCAAUAGCGUAUACUAAAGUUGUUGCAGUUAAAAAGCUCGUAGUUGGAUUUCUGUGGGGGCGGAGCGGCCGGCCGCAACUCGCGGUUCGAGCUAGCGCUUCCCCUACAUCCUGCCGCGAACCGUGCUACCAUUAGUUUGGUGGCGCCGGGGAUCGGCUCGUUUACUUUGAGAAAAAUAGAGUGUUCAAAGCAGGCCACACGCCUUGAAUAAGUUAGCAUGGAAUAAUAAUAAAGGACUUCGGUUCUAUUUUGUUGGUGUUCGGGACUGAAGUAAUGAUUGAUAGGGACAGUUGGGGCGGUCAGUAUUCCAAAGCGAGAGGUGAAAUUCUUAGACCUUCGGAAGACUAACAGCUGCGAAAGCGUUCCGCAAGGAUGUUCCCUUUGAUCAAGAACGAAAGUUGGGGGAUCGAAGACGAUCAGAUACCGUCGUAGUCUCAACUAUAAACUAUACCAGCUAGGGAUCGGCCAACGUUAAAUUAUCCGACUUGGUCGGCACCUUAUGAGAAAUCAAAGCAUCUGGGUUCCGGGGGGAGUAUGGUCGCAAGGCUGAAACUUAAAGGAAUUGACGGAAGGGCACCACCAGCCGUGGAGCCUGUGGCUUAAUUUGACUCAACACGGGAAAACUUACCAGGUCCAGACAUAGUAAGGAUUGACAGAUUGAUAGCUCUUUCUUGAUUCUGUGGGUGGUGGUGCAUGGCCGUUCUUAGUUGGUGGAGUGAUUUGUCUGGUUAAUUCCGUUAACGAACGAGACCCCAGCCUGCUAAAUAGCGCGGCUGAGCUUUGCUCGGCGCGAGCUUCUUAGAGGGACUAUGAUGCGCGAUAGCACAUGGAAGUUUGGGGCAAUAACAGGUCUGUGAUGCCCUUAGAUGUUCUGGGCCGCACACGGGCUACACUGGCGCCUGCAACGAGCAUAUCAGCUGGCCCGAGAGGGUCUUGGCUAAUCUUUUGAACCGGCGCCGUGCUUGGGAUUGACCAUUGCAAUUGUUGGUCAUGCAACGAGGAAUGCCUUGUAAACGCGAGUCAUCAACUCGCAUUGAAUACGUCCCUGCCCUUUGUACACACCGCCCGUCGCUCCUACCGAUGAAUGUUCCGAUGAAAUUUUCGGAGAGCGCUUGUGAAGUUGGCUCUGCCUUCCGAACGAGAGGCUCAAAGUCACUUAAAUCUGAACAUUUCGAGGAAGGAGAAGUCGUAACAAGGUAACC